rnacentral:lncRNA from 1 species
UUCUCUUCUUGAGGUGCUUCACUCUGAGGAAGCAUCCUUGGGACAGCAGCUAGUGGCACUUUUCUCCUCCAAAAGAUUGCCAACUGAUCGGAGGUACUUUCUCUUCCAUUCACGGAUGGAAAGAAAGAUUUUUCUUUGUUCACUCUGAGCAACUGUUGAGGUUCGAGACAGUGUGGAAGGGCACCUCAGACAAACCUAAAUCGGCCCCUAAGGUUGUUUGGUGAUGAUUAAAGGGCCUUAUACAGGUUUCUAGAAUCUCAAUCCAAGAUUUCUGCUUUGGAAGAGCUGUUGUUCGAGGGGGUCCCCCAAAGUUCGAGGGGGGAGUCUUCUUCGAUCGCUGCUAUCGAGGUUGCCCCCACGGUGGCCACCGAGGCUUUAGCCCCCAAAGUCUGUGGCUUGGCACAAUCCUAUCUGAGCUCGUCCAUCUGCCAGCAGCAUCCUUCCACUCUAGGUCAUGCCCCUAGGGUUUACUCCCUGCACAGGUCUAUCCAAGAGUCGGACUAUGCUCUAACAAACCUUAUGGUGGCAAUGCAAUUGGUCGAAACCAUGCAGCUUCCGGCCAACCUAGAGGCUAUGCGCUCUGUUAGUGUCGCCAAGUUCUUCGACUGGGCUUUCACUNNNNNNNNNNNNNNNNNNNNCCGACUCACAAACUACCAUGUAGUCUUUUUCUUUUGUUACUAACUCUUGUUAUCCUUUCCAGCAUGCCCUUGUGAUCAGCGAGAUAGUGAAUGGUCGCGAGG